GCAAGCACCUUCCUAUGUAUUUGCCUGGCAUUGAUGAAGAAUACACCUCCAACUAGACAAUGCAUAUCUGUGCUGAGAAUUGGUUUUUGGCAGCAAAGGGCAGGAGGAGAAAACAUAGCAAAAACGUAUGUGGGAAGCAGACACAUUUUGUAAAGAUUUUCUUUGAGCACUUCCAAGCAAAUAUUUCCAGGGACACCCAAAAAUAAGAUGGGAAAAAAUAGAACUGCCUCAAAACCAAAAGAAAGAAUUUCCUAGUCCCCAAACACACAUUCUUCCUGAUGUGAAUCAACAGGAAUCAGAAAUCACUACUCCAGAUCAACAGCUCAGGGGACUGCUCCUUCUUUGACACCACAUAUGAAUACCUUGGAAAUCUGUGCUGCUGCUUUUCCAGCUCCUCCCUGGUGAGUCCCGUGGCUCCACUUCAGAGCAGAUUUGCCUGAACAUCCCUGGCCUCUUGCUUGCAGAGGAGCCUCCUGAAAAGGAGUCUGGUUAUUGUUGCAGUCAUUGUGAGUACUGAAGUGUGCUCACUGGCCUCUUCCAGACUGAACCUAGAUAAAAACCAUUUUCACUCGAGCAUGCACAGUCUGUCCCCAGUACUGCACUUGGGCAAUGGAAAACCAGGAGCCCCUGCAGCACGGUGUGCCAAAUAGAGCAGCUCUCUGCAGCCACUCAGGGAAACUGCACAAGUAAGUUACUCCAUUAAAUCUGAUGGAGACAAAAGACAGGAAGGACAGAAAGACUGAUAGAAAUGAGCUUGUCUGCCAGCCUCCCUUCCAAGAAUGCUGCCUUGCCUUGCGGCACUGGUGGGAAGAGAGGUGGCAAGACUUAUCUGCCAGCAAAAGUUUCUUUGAAGAGAUUUCACAUUGCUCACGGUUAUUGAUUUGAUAUUCAAAAUGAAAAAAAUAUGUUUUGAUUUCUGCCAAAAUAAGGCUGUUCUCUUUAUUCUGGCUUUAUUUAUGCUUUAUUUAUGCCCCCCCUCCUUCUCUCCUCUUAAACAAUACAGUGGAUCACAUAAAGAUGUAAAAGAACAGGGAGUUUAGUGGGUGGGAGGUGAUCAAUUUUUAGUCUAUUAAAAAGUUUGAAAUUGAAAUUGUUGUGAUUUGGAGGGAAAAUGGAGGCACAAUUUCACUCCCUUCAAAGUGUCUUGUCAAAAAGUCAGUCUUCUCCUCCCAGCUGAUUCUAAUUCUGUAAGCCAGUGAGAUGAGAUAAAUCUCCUUUGUCUACAGAGAAGAAUGACAUCAGACAAAGCAAAGCCCAUGGCUCUAAUUAGUCCUUCUGACAAGGCAGAAAUCAACACAACACAACAGCAGCUUGCGGUUGGACACGCUCCUUAGAUCAUUUCACAAUCAAAGCAACUGCUAAUAUGUGAGUGUAACAUGGGAGUGCGCGAGGGUUGUCCCUGGGUUGUGAUAUGCUGUUCUUUCCUCUCUACCUUUAGGCACCUCAUUGUCUGUGCUCACUCCCAAUUCUGUAACGGGUAAUCCUUCUGCUGGAAACCUUCAAGGGAAAUAGCCGUUAUGUAUUAUGAUAGCACAAGUUUAAGUGAUCAUUAAACAGUAGGAGUUACUAUUUGAAAUCUAUAUCCUCACUAACCAGACCAUUCUGUUUCACCCUGGGUGAAAUCCACCCCUGAGGAGAACAAGGGCAAAGCAUAAUUUAAGCUCCACUAAACCCUCAAGAAAUAACUUCACCGAUUCUGAACACAUCAAUCACAUUUUUUUUUUUUAAAUGGAACAUAAAACCUAACAAAUUUUAACAAGGCUCCCACCAGUAUCAAUUCCCUCUAAUAGCAUAAAGCCUGUACAUCUCUGCUGAUAGUGAGCUCUAAAAUGUAUUGCGAACAGAACAAAAAUAGAAAACUAAACAAAUUCUGAAGUAUUAAAAUAAUAAGAACACAAAAUUCUUGCAUUUGUAGCUAGCAGGGAUUUUGAAAGGAGACUGAUAGCAUCAUCCCUGGUUUAGAGAUGAGGAACAGAACUGCAGUAUGGUUUUCCCAAAGUCAUGUGGGAGGUCAGUGGCUGAACUGACUGCUGAGCCCUCAUCUACUACUAUCCCAGUCCCCAGGCAUGUGUUUGCCUGCAUGUGUGCAUGCUUCAGGCUCCUAGAGAAGUUACCAAAGCAGGUUAGUAAGGGGUAGCAAGCUACUGCAUAUCUAAUUGUCAGAGAAAAAUGGAAAAAUGAUAUUCAGAAGCAUCCCACAAUUGUCUUCUUCUCUGCAGCCAAGGAGAUCUCCGUUGAUUUAGCAGAGCAGUUGAUUAGCUGCUCUGUCUUGUUGGUGAAGGGAAGCAUAGGCUGGGCCACAAAUUAAUAUCUGUGAAUUUAUCAAAGUAAUCUGGUUGCCUAGAGGCCAGGAGCCAGAGGCAUAUGUAAAUCUCUGAAAACAUUGUGACAGACAUGCAGCCCAAAUUUUGGGACUUUGACAAUUUCAGAUUGUGAGUACUGGUUGAAUACUAGCUGAUACUGAAGAAGCGUGGGAAGCUUUAGAUGCUUUGCCAGCUGACUUCACUUGCUGUCUUUGUGUGUAGUCAGUGAUGAGAGACAGCCUCCUCCAAAUCCUUGUCUGGGUGAGCCGGGCUUUCAUCUAUGGCUGCAGGAGGAAUCAGGGAAAGGCUGAGUACCUACAUGAGCCAGGGCAGGCAGGCUGAGCACCCUACCAUGGCUUCUGAGAGGACGAGCAGCAGAUCUCCAGGAGACCAGGGGCUUGGUUUUUGGGUAGAGGUCUCUGUUUAUGUAGACUUGGCAGGCUGCAAAACCUGAAUCCAUCCUAGGUUACAAUUUGCUUCUGUGCAUCUGAGCAGUAGGGGCUAAGUGGAUGCAGAGCAGUCCUUAAUUUCUUUUACCCCUUAAUUUCUUUCUUGUUAGGGCAGUGGCCUGACACUAUUUCUCUGACCAGCAGUUAGGCUCCUUCUGGCUAGAAAGACCAAUCUUUAAUGUCAAGAAAUUGAAUUUAUGCCUCUCUCAGGCUAAUUUUAGAAUUCAAUUAUGAUCAAGAAAAGAUCUCGAAAGAAAAAUAACAAUAAAAAUUCACUCCAGAUACCUCAAAGCAGAUACACAAACAGCAACCAAAAGAGUCUUGGCUUAACUGGGGAAAAAACAGUUUAUCUUGAUUUGCCUCAUGUGAGAACUUAGAGAGAAGAAUGAAAAAUACUUGCAAAAAGUAGGAAACUUUGUUUCUUCUUCAAGAUGUAGUAAUUCUGACAAGUACAUUGAAAAUAUAUCAGAGAAGAUCUUACUGUCCCCAGAUGGAGUAAGACUGAAAUUGGCAAAUGGUACAUUAACAUAUUUCUGCUUACAUUCCAGCCUUCCCACAAAAGGAAAUGUUAUGGGGAAUUAAUUUGUGUAGUUUACAAGCUUCCUGGGUUUUGCUUGGAGUUCAAGACAAUGAAGAACCUCUGCAUCUGAGACAGAAUCC